UUUUAAAGGAUUAAAACCAUCCCAUCUGUCCUCUGCUUUUUCUGGUGACAUUUUGUUACAAAAAUGCCUCUUAUUUGUAAUGUUACUCAAGUCACGAGCAUUUUUAUACCAGUGAUCUCAAUAGGAGAAUUGGUUUUUCAGCUCAGCAAACUAAUCUUUCUGACAGUGAAAAAUAAGCACUAUGAUUGUUUGUUUCUUUAGUGGCAAUGAAAAUGCAGAAAGGUGUGGUGUUCUCAACAAGGGCAAGAGUGGAACUGAAAAGCAUUCAAGUAUUCUGGAGAUAUGCUUGAAUGCUUCUUUCCAGAAGGCCUGUACAAUCAGCUGAAUGCCUCUCCAAAGGUGAAAGUGUGGCAUCUUAUUACCUCAAGAGGAACUUGCUUUUGAGACAUUUAAAACUACAUUAUGUACUUCAGAGUAUAUUGUUACACUGAUGUAAUGCCUCAUGUGGAUAUUCUUAUACCGGAAUGAGUGCCAUUUUCCUGUGUAGG